UACGGAGGGGGCAAGCGUUGCUCGGAAUCACUGGGCGUAAAGCGCACGUAGGCGGACUGUUAAGUCGGAGGUGAAAUCCCUCAGCUUAACUGAGGAAGUGCACUCGAAACUGGCAGUCUUGAGUAUGGAAGAGGGUCGCGGAAUUCCCGGUGUAGAGGUGAAAUUCGUAGAUAUCGGGAGGAACACCAGUGGCGAAGGCGGCGACCUGGGCCAAUACUGACGCUGAGGUGCGAAAGCGUGGGGAGCAAACAGG
rnacentral:rRNA from 1 species